UCGCGUAAGAUGCGUCCUGCUGUAAAUAUGGACAAAUAGUAAUUUUGAUGGAAUUUAGAUGAGCAUCAUGUGAGUCGCAGGUGCUCAUAAAGGACCAUCAUAGAUAC
rnacentral:snoRNA from 3 species